GUGGUGGGGAUCCACCUUGUGGUGGGGAUUCACUUUGAGGUGGGGAUCCACUUUGUGGUGGGGAUUCACUUUGAGGUGGGGAUCCUCCUUGUGGUGGGUAUUCAUUUUGAGGUGAGGAUCCACCUUGUGGUGGGGAUCCUUUUUGUGGUGGAUAUUCACUUUGAGGUGAGGAUCCAUCUUGUGGUGGGGAUUCACCUUGAGGUGGGGAUCCACCUUGUGGUGAGGAUUCACUUUGAGGUGAGGAUCCACCUUGUGGUGGGGAUUCACUUUGAGGUGGGGAUUCAUUUUGAGGUGGGGAUCUACCUUUAGGUGAGGUUUCCUUAUCAUCAUCAUCAUCAUCAUCAUCAUCAUCAUCAUCAUCAUCAUCAUUAUCAGUUCUUUUUCGAACGCUAGAAUUAACAUCGA
rnacentral:lncRNA from 1 species